UGCAGUCUUGUCAAAUUCAGUGUUUCCUCUUCAUGGAUGUCACUGGCCAAAAUGGCUGCCACAGUGAGCGUGUAGUUCAUGGGCCUCAGUGGUGCUUCAUCAUCACCACAGAGGAUAAAUAUGUACUACACACAAAC